rnacentral:rRNA from 1 species
UGGUGCCAGCAGCCGCGGUAAUUCCAGCUCCAAUAGCGUAUACUAAAGUUGUUGCGAUUAAAAAGCUCGUAGUUGGAUCUCGGGUGCGGGCGCGCGGUCUAGCCAUCGGCUCAGCACUGCGUUGUUACACUUGUUGUAAGCCCGUCCUACGCUUCCCGGUCACGGACGGUGCCCUUGACUGUGGCGUCAUCCUAGCCGGAACGUUUACUUUGAAGAAAUUAGAGUGUUCAAAGCAGGCCAUGGCCCGCAUACAUUGCAUGGAAUAAUGGAAUAGGACCUCGGUUCUAUUUUGCUGGUUUUCGGAACACGAGGUAAUGAUUAAUAGGAACGGACGGGGGCAUCCGUACUGUGGUGUUAGAGGUGAAAUUCUUGGAUCAUUGCAAGACGAACGACUGCGAAAGCACUUGCCAAGCAUGUUUUCAUUAGUCAAGAA